CAAGAGCGUAUAUUAAAGUUGCUGCGGUUAAAAAGCUCGUAGUUGGAUUUCAGUCUAGGAAGGUUAACUCGCCGAAAGGUUGUACGUUGAUUUUCCUCAGACUUCGUCAGAAGCUCGUGCUGCACUUAACUGUGUGGUGCGAUGUUCUGACCUUUUACCUUGAGGAAAGUAGAGUGUUUCAGGCAGGCUACCCAGCUUGAAUACAUUAGCAUGGAAUAAUGAAAUGGAUCUCGGUUCGAUUUCGUUGGUUCUAGAGCUGAGGUGAUGAUCAAUAGGAACAGGCGAAGGUAUUCGUACUUGAGAGUGAGGAGUGAAAUCCGAUGAUCUCUUAAAGACGAUCCGAGGCGAAAGCAUUUGUCAAGGAUGUUUUCAUUGA
rnacentral:rRNA from 1 species